rnacentral:rRNA from 1 species
CCCGGGUCUUGUACGCACCGCCCGUCACACCAUGGGAGCGGGAUGUACCAGAAGUAGGUAGGCUAACCGCAAGGGGGCCGCUUACCACGGUGCGUUUCGUGACUGGGGUG